rnacentral:rRNA from 1 species
UACGGAGGAUGCAAGCGUUAUCCGGAAUGAUUGGGCGUAAAGCGUCCGCAGGUGGCUAUGUAAGUCUGCUGUUAAAGAGUCUGGCUCAACCAGAUAAAGGCAGUGGAAACUACAUGGCUAGAGUGCGUUCGGGGCAGAGGGAAUUCCUGGUGUAGCGGCGAAAUGCGUAGAGAUCAGGAAGAACACCGGUGGCGAAAGCGCUCUGCUAGGCCGCAACUGACACUGAGGGACGAAAGCUAGGGGAGCGAAUGGG